rnacentral:rRNA from 1 species
CAAUAGCGUAUACUAAAGUUGUUGCAGUUAAAAAGCUCGUAGUUGGACUUCUGCGGGUGGCGGCCGGUCGUGCUCGAAACGGGCGUGAACUUGGCGUGCUGCCCGCAUCUUUGGGGAGAUUGUGCGUGGCAUUAAGUUGUCGUGCAUGGGAUUCUCAUCAUUUACUGUGAAAAAAUUAGAGUGUUUAAAGCAGGCCUUUGCCUUGAAUACAUUAGCAUGGAAUAAUAAGAUAGGACCGUUGUCUAUUUUGUUGGUUUACAGAUGUCGGUAAUGAUUAAUAGGGAUAGUUGGGGGUAUUCGUAUUCAGUUGUCAGAGGUGAAAUUCUUGGAUUUUCGGAAGACGCACGACUGCGAAAGCAUUUACCAAGGAUGUUUUCAUUAA